rnacentral:misc_RNA from 1 species
GAUGAAGAACGCAGCGAAAUGCGAUAAGUAAUGUGAAUUGCAGAAUUCCGUGAAUCAUCGAAUCUUUGAACGCAUAUUGCGCCCUCUGGUAUUCCGGGGGGCAUGCCUGUCCGAGCGUCAUUGCUGCCCUCAAGCACGGCUUGUGUGUUGGGCCUCCGUCCUCCUCCCGGGGGACGGGCCCGAAAGGCAGCGGCGGCACCGCGUCCGGUCCUCGAGCGUAUGGGGCUUCGUCACCCGCUCUUGUAGGCCCGGUCGGCGCUUUGCCGACACAUCAAUCUUUUUUCCAGGUUGACCUCGGAUCAGGUAGGGAUACCCGCUGAACUUAAGCAUAUCAAUAAGCGGAGGA